GUGCUCACUUUGGCACCACAUACACUUAACUUAGAAUGAUACAGAGAUUAGCAUUGCUCCUGCACAGGGAUGACAUGCAAAUUUUAAAUAAAAAAUGUUCCAUAUU